rnacentral:rRNA from 1 species
AGAGUUUGAUCCUGGCUCAGGACGAACGCUGGCGGCGCGCCUAACACAUGCAAGUCGAACGGAGCUUAGAGAGCUUGCUUUUUAAGCUUAGUGGCGAACGGGUGAGUAACGCGUGAGUAACCUGCCCUAGAGUGGGGGACAACAGUUGGAAACGACUGCUAAUACCGCAUAAGCCCACGGUACCGCAUGGUACUGAGGGAAAAGGAUUUAUUCGCUUUAGGAUGGACUCGCGUCCAAUUAGCUAGUUGGUGAGGUAACGGCCCACCAAGGCGACGAUUGGUAGCCGGACUGAGAGGUUGAACGGCCACAUUGGGACUGAGACACGGCCCAGACUCCUACGGGAGGCAGCAGUGGGGGAUAUUGCACAAUGGGGGAAACCCUGAUGCAGCGACGCCGCGUGGAGGAAGAAGGUCUUCGGAUUGUAAACUCCUGUUGUUGAGGAAGAUAAUGACGGUACUCAACAAGGAAGUGACGGCUAACUACGUGCCAGCAGCCGCGGUAAAACGUAGGUCACAAGCGUUGUCCGGAAUUACUGGGUGUAAAGGGAGCGCAGGCGGGAAGACAAGUUGGAAGUGAAAUCUAUGGGCUCAACCCAUAAACUGCUUUCAAAACUGUUUUUCUUGAGUAGUGCAGAGGUAGGCGGAAUUCCCGGUGUAGCGGUGGAAUGCGUAGAUAUCGGGAGGAACACCAGUGGCGAAGGCGGCCUACUGGGCACCAACUGACGCUGAGGCUCGAAAGCAUGGGUAGCAAACAGGAUUAGAUACCCUGGUAGUCCAUGCCGUAAACGAUGAUUACUAGGUGUUGGAGGAUUGACCCCUUCAGUGCCGCAGUUAACACAAUAAGUAAUCCACCUGGGGAGUACGACCGCAAGGUUGAAACUCAAAGGAAUUGACGGGGGCCCGCACAAGCAGUGGAGUAUGUGGUUUAAUUCGAAGCAACGCGAAGAACCUUACCAGGUCUUGACAUCCGAUGCAUAGCACAGAGAUGUGUGAAAUCCUUCGGGACAUCGAGACAGGUGGUGCAUGGUUGUCGUCAGCUCGUGUCGUGAGAUGUUGGGUUAAGU